UACGAAGGGGGCUAGCGUUGCUCGGAAUCACUGGGCGUAAAGGGUGCGUAGGCGGGUCUUUAAGUCAGGGGUGAAAUCCUGGAGCUCAACUCCAGAACUGCCUUUGAAACUGGAAAGCUAGAGUAUCGGAGGGGAUAGCGGAAUUCCUAAUGUAGAGGUGAAAUUCGUAGAUAUUAGGAGGAACACCGGUGGCGAAGGCGGCUAUCUGGACGAUUACUGACGCUCUGGCACGAAAGUGUGGGGAUCAAACAGG
rnacentral:rRNA from 1 species